UGCAUUGUGACUGCCAGAUGCUGACAUGUUGUGAUAUUUUAGUGCUGAAGCUGCUGAAGAUGGCCACAGGGAUGAGAGCUUUGUUGGACACAGUGAUGCAAGCUCUGCCUCAGGCAACAAAGGAUCAUGGCUAUCCGCAGGGAAAACUUACCCGCCCAGCAUUUUAAACUUGAGGAUACUGAAGAUUCAGCGGAAGAUGGCGGUUAAAAAAGGAAGCUGUACUUGCUUCAUUCAUUGGAAUAAUUUGUUGGAGGAAAAUCAUGAUCUCCGGGAGGGAAUCCGCCACUUGGGCAACAGGUUGAAAGAGGCAGCGAUUCAGCACAAGGUUUGCAUAAAAAAACAUCCUGUUGUGUUUCUGGGCCAUGAUUGAGCCGCUCUUCCGUCUAAGGAGUUCACCCAGAACAGAGACAAACUCCCAUCAACUCCACUCCAUCAACCCAUUGAGAUCCUGUUGUUAAAAUUAGUUUGUUCUUGGAUCCAAG